UGAUGGCAAAGAACAGACCUCGGGUCUUCAGGAAUGCAGGACCUCUGGAGACCCCUGCCACAUGUGAUCGAAUGUAGAUGAAAAGAGCGUAAAAACUAAUAGAAUGGAGUACCAUUUCUGGGAAUAAAUGAUCAUUCAAUGGCCGAGGAUAGUACAACGAUUGUACCGCAACCUCACUCCUCAAACUCGCUGACUCGUUUUGUAGCUAGCCCUGACCUCUGUAGUUUAACUAGCAGCAGAGCACCUCUGUAGUUUAACUAGCAGCAGAGCACCUGGCCUGUGUAGUCGCCAUUCGAAUAUUCUGCUAUCACUUGUUGCGUGCCUGCCCCAAUAACAUAACAUAAGCAAGUAUAUAUCCUCUUUGUUAACAUGUAUAUAGGUCAGAUCGUUUGAUGUAUUGCUGUUGUUGUACAGAAAAAUUAUGUUGCCGAUCCAUUGCUUGAGGAAUUUGAUGAUUUGGGCUUUAUUUUAAACAGAGGCAAAUGUUUUCCGUUAGUUAAUCUGAUGUACUAGUAUUAGUAGUCAAGGAUGAACUUGAUAGCAAGGAAAUCAAAACAAGGACAAGAAUUCUUUCUGCCAAAUUAACCCACCACGUGCUAAGCAGUGAGUCCAUGAGUACCAACACGUGCACAUCUAGCUACCUCUAGCUAAUGGGAAAUUAGCAAAAAAGUGAGCCGUGUAACUAGAGAACAAACAACAACCAU